rnacentral:rRNA from 1 species
GAUGAACGCUGACAGAAUGCUUAACACAUGCAAGUCGAUGGGGAAGUGGUGCUUGCACCAUGGUAACCAUGGCGGACGGGUGAGUAACGCGUAAGGAACUUGCCUGCGGGACUGGGAUAACAGCAGGAAACUGCUGAUAAUACCGGAUAAGGUCAUUAAGCUGCAUAGCUUAGUGAUGAAAGGAGACGCCUGCGGAGAGCCUUGCGUCCUAUUAGCUAGUUGGAGGGGUAACGGCCCACCAAGGCGAAGAUAGGUUGCCGGCCUGAGAGGGUGGACGGCCACAAGGGGACUGAGAUACGGCCCUUACUCCUACGGGAGGCAGCAGUGGGGAAUAUUGGACAAUGGGGGCAACCCUGAUCCAGCAAUUCUGUGUGCACGAAGACGGUUUUCGGAUUGUAAAGUGCUUUCAGCAGGGAAGAAGGAAGUGACGGUACCUGCAGAAGAAGCGACGGCUAAAUACGUG